rnacentral:SRP_RNA from 14 species
AUGACGAUGAUGCUGGGCCAUCACCACAGUGAACGAAGCAGAUUUCAUCUGGCUGACUACAAGGAGGUGAAGGCAACGGCGCUGAAGGCAAAAAAGGAAAAGGCUCGAAAGGCAGCAGAGAACA